AUUGAACGCUGGCGGCAGGCCUAACACAUGCAAGUCGAGCGGCAGCGGAAAAGUAGCUUGCUACUUUUGCCGGCGAGCGGCGGACGGGUGAGUAAUGCCUGGGGAUCUGCCCAGUCGAGGGGGAUAACUACUGGAAACGGUAGCUAAUACCGCAUACGCCCUACGGGGGAAAGCAGGGGACCUUCGGGCCUUGCGCGAUUGGAUGAACCCAGGUGGGAUUAGCUAGUUGGUGAGGUAAUGGCUCACCAAGGCGACGAUCCCUAGCUGGUCUGGGAGGAUGAUCAGCCACACUGGAACUGAGACACGGUCCAGAAUCCUACGGGAGGCAGCAGUGGGGAAUAUUGCACAAUGGGGGAAACCCUGAUGCAGCCAUGCCGCGUGUGUGAAGAAGGCCUUCGGGUUGUAAAGCACUUUCAGCGAGGAGGAAAGGUUGGUAGCUAAUAACUGCCAGCUGUGACGUUACUCGCAGAAGAAGCACCGGCUAACUCCGUGCCAGCCGCCGCCGUAA
rnacentral:rRNA from 1 species